ACUAUUGUAAGUAAUGCUUCUAUGAACCUUGGGGUGAAUGUUUCUUUUUGAAUUAUUGUUUUCAUUUUUUUAAGAUAUAUAAUCAGAACAGGAAUUGCUGGAUGAUGCAGUGGUUCUAUUUUUAGGUUUUUCAUAAACAACCAUACUUUUUUUUCUUUUUUCUUUUUUAUUAAGUAUAGUUGAUUUAUAGUGUUGUGCCAAUCAAUUUCUGCUCUACAGCAUAGUGACCCAGUCGUACAUAUAUAUACAUUCUUUGUCUUGUACUAUCUUCCAUCGUGUUCUAUCCCAGACAUUAGAUAUAGUUCCCUGUGCUGUACAGUAGGACCUCAUUGUUUACCCAUUCUAAAUGUAAUAGUUUGCAUCUAGCAACCCAAAACUCACCAUACUGUUUUUCGUGGUGGCUGUAUAAAUUUACAUUCCCACCAACUUUGUACACAGGUUCUCUUUUCUUCACAUCCUCACCAACUUUUGUUAUUUAUAGACAUUUUGAUGAUAAUUAUUCUUAUAGGUGUUAGGUGAUACUCAUUGUGGUUUUGAUUUGCAUUUCUUUAAUAAUUAGUGAUGUUGAACAUCUUUUCAUGUGACUAUUAGCCAUCUGUAUGUCUUCUUCAGAAAAUUGUCUAUUCAGGUCUUCUGCCCAUUUUCUAAUUGAGUUGUUUGGGUUUUUUUAUACUGAGUUGUUGCCACAAAGAAAACCCUAUUAGAACUAAUAAAUGCAUAUAGUGUGGUUCUAGGAUACAAGAUUAAUAUAAAAAUAUGUUAUAAUCUGUUACAAUUCUAUAUACAAAUGAUGAGCUAUAAGAAAGAAAAAGGCAAAAAACAAUCCCCUUUAAAAUCACAUCAAAAAAAACUAAGAAUAAACUUAACCAGAAAUUAAUAUUGUUAAAAUGUCCAUAUACCCAAAGCAAUCUCAGACUUAAUGCAAUCCCAGUCAAAUAUCCAUUUUUCACAGAACUAGAAAAAUUAAUCCUAAAAUUUAAAUGGAACUAAAAAAGACCCCAAAUUGCCAAAGCAAUCUUGAGAAAAAGGAACAAAGCUGGAACUAUCGUGCUCCCUGAUUUCAAACUAUACUACAAAGCUACAGUAAUCUAAAUAGCAUGGUACUGACACAAAAACAGACACAUAGAUUAAUGGAACAGAAUAGAGAACCAAGAAAUAUACAUCUGUGGUCAAUUAAUCUUCAACAAAGGAGGAAAGAAUAAGUGGUGCUGAGAAAACUGAACAGUUAUGUGCAAAAGAAUGAGAUUAGAACAUUUCCACAUACUAUAUACAAUACUAAAAUCAAAAUUGUUUAAAGAUCUAAAUGUAAAAUCUGAAACCACAAAAUCUGAGGAGAACAUGGGCAGAAUGCUCUUCAGCAUAAAUUCUAGCAAUAUUUUUUUAUCUGUUCUAAGGCAAAAGAAAUAAGAGCAAAAAUAAAUCAAUGGGACUGAAUUAAAAGGCUUUUGCACAACAAAGAAAAUCAUCAAUGAAAUGAAAAGACAUUUUUACUAAUUUUACAGAUUGGGAAAAUAUAUUUGCAAAUAAUAUGACCAAUGAGUAGUUAAUAUCCAUAUUUCUUGAUUCUAACAGAUGUAUAUCCUGUUAGAUAACCCACAUUAAAAUACCCACAUUUAAGGUUUAGAACAAUGUGUACAUACAUUUUAUGUGGAAGCAUCACUUUUUUCAAGUUAAUAUUUUAAAAUUUUUAUUGAGGCAGAAUAUGUAUACAUAUGCAUCCAUGUACACAUUUCACAAAUGCAUAGUUGUAAAUUAUAUGGUAGGGUUUCAUUUCUUCCCAUAAGUUUAAGAAGUGCUUUCCAUGUUCAAAAACAGCUACACAGCUUAGCCUGAAGAAGACAAUAGUUUGGUAGAAAUGUAUUGAGGAAAUUUUCAAGAGGUAGAGCUAAGGGGAGGUGGAAACAGGGACUAAAUGUCUGUAGCUCUUGAAUUAUCAACUCUUCAAGGCAAGCAGGCUCUGUAACUUAUUUAGCAUGGGUCAGACUUUGGGUCUAUUUCAUGAAUAACAGUAAAAUCUUGGUCACCAAUUAUUUAUUAAGAUGAAUGUCUUAAAAGAGAGGCACCAUAGUACUACAUGCUUCUCUACAAGGGGAGGGAGAUGUUACCAAAAUGCUGACUAUCCAUCCUAGUGUGACCAGCUUACAUAACUGAGAUACACAGGUCAUCAGAGGGCUUCACACAGCCCUUUCACUAUACUAGGGGCUCAAGAAUCUAUCCUAAUUAUUAGAGUAGAGAUUAAUUUCCCACUACAGUAUUGUAGAUAUCCCACUUUUGCCUGUCUACUUUUUACCACAUCUCUGCCUCAAGGCUGACCUGUACAUUUACCUAAUUUCUGGCAGUCAUUUGGCUCAGCCAACAGCAUGAACAGGAAAGUGGAAGGAGAAAAAUGAGGUUAGAGUAUUAAUCCCCAGAUCCCUCCCUGCAGAGUUGCAUUGGAUGGACCAAAUGUCCUCUAUUUGCUAAUCCUGGACUGGAUUAGCUCAAACUUCCUAAUUCUAAAGUCCAUGACUCCAUAUUUCACUCUCUUUUCUUCUAUUUCUCUUUUUUCAAUGCAUUCUACCUGUUUUGGUAUUAGGAACCACAAGUGUCUUCCCUUGUUUUUGAAGUCACUCUUCAAUAUUUAGGCCUUAAGUUUGUUACCUCAGAUUCCCUACUGUCAUUUCUUCCUCUGAUUAUCUGGGGGUUGGUACAUUUACUGUUUAAGGCCAUAUGAUGGAAGUUGGGUAGGUUAUCUUUAAUAACCCCUAAUAAAUGGCAUCUUAUAUGAUCCCUAUAACCCAAGGGCAUUCCAUUCAUCUCCUGUCUUACACAUUCUACCAAAGGAAAGAUCCCAAGUUACUGUCACAGCAUCUUCUGCACCCAGAAGGGCAGAUGCUAUCUUUGAUGCACUUUUAUAAUACAAAAUUGAUUAUGUUUAUUUCCUACACUAAGACAAACAGCAGUCUCUGUCACCAUCAACUGUUAUGAUAGCAUUCAUUUAUACCCAAUGAAUUUAAUUGGCUAUAUUUCUAGAAUGCCACCAUCAGCAGUGCUUUGCUGGUUCAUCAAUGGCUGUUAUUUCAUCUGCCGAAUGCAGAGGAGGGCAUAAAUCCACAGCAAUAAAGGUGUGCAGUGGUUAAAUAUUCUCCAGAAUGUAUGACUGCUCGAUUGAAGGAUGAGCUCAUAGAGAAACUAUUACACUGAAACCUGGCUCUUAUGUUGUUCUCAGAAGAAUGGGAUUCAAUAUAAGGAAUGAGGGUCCUUCAUGGAGCCUUGAUCUACUGUUUAAGGACCCAAGGACUUCAUCAAAAGAUGGUUCUAUUUAGGAGAGUGAAAUUUUACAGCAGGCAAAAUAAUAACCCUUGGCAUCAGAAAACUUGGACUUGAAUUCUCUCUCCAUUCCUUGCUACUUGGGUGACCUCAGGCAAAUCACUUAAUCUAUUUAUUUAUUUAUUUAUUUAUUUUAUCUUUUUGCCAUUUCUUGGGCCGCUCCCGCGGCAUAUGGAGGUUCCCAGGCUAGGGGUCCAAUUGGCGCUGUAGCCGCCAGCCUACACCAGAGCCACAGCAGCACAGGGUCCAAGCCUCAUCUGUGACCUACACCACAGCUCACGGCAACGCCAGAUCCUUAACCCACUGAGCAAGGCCAGGGAUCAAACCUGCAACCUCAUGGUUCCUAGUCAGAUUCAUUAACCACUGAGCCACGAAAGGAACUCCUUAAUCUUUUUAAAUAUACAUUUCUCCUUCUGUAUAUUGAGGGUAAUAAUGUACCAAAUUUUAGGAUUGCUGGGAAUCUUUAAAUGAGAUAACCUUUGGAAAGGAAUUAGUACAGUGACUGGCACAGAGGAAGCCCUCAGGAAAUACUUGCAUAUUGAUGAUGAUGGUGACACAAACCAUCAUCAGAUCAUCAUUACCAUCACCAUUUUUUGUAAAACUGUAAGGUAUUUUACAUUCUUAUUUCCCUCAGACAAAUCUCUUCCAUACCUACACCCUUUGUGGACAAAAGAGCCAUCUCUCCAAAUACAUACCCAAGUUCAUCAUGGCUUUCCCUCUCUAAAAAUCACUCCUAGCUUCCUAGUCAACCCAGUAAAGUUGAAAUUCCUUAAGCUGCCAUACAAUGCAUUACAGUCUGUUCCUCUCCCACCUCUUCAGCUGCAUAUCUGUAUUCUUCCCACCCUGAGUGUUUUACUGCAGCCAUAGAAAAUUUUUCACUGUACCCCACUUGCUCAUCAAGCCCUCUAUAUUCUCUUCUCUUUGCCGAGAAUGUUCCUGCAGAGGGUUCAAAGAUUUGGUCAAGGGUCACCUUAUUAGCUCAUAUUUGUUAAGUGCUGCUGUGUGCCCAGCACUAAGAUGAUCAACAACUCUAUGAUGUAGUACAAUUAUCAGGUGUAAGAAGGUGUCUGAGGUUUGGCAAUAUGGAACCCAACAAAGUGAUUCACAUCCAGGAUACAGAUGUUCAGGAAGGGGCAGUGAAAAUUCAAAUCAGGGAUUCUGACUCCAGAGUAGCUGUAUUAGUUUCCUAUUGCUGCUGUAAGAAGUACCUCAAACUUAGGUAGCUUAAAAAAACAUGUACUUGUUAUCUUACAGUUCUGCAGAGCAGAAGUUCAAAGGGAGUUUUACUGUGUUAAGAUGAUUUUACUGAUCAUCUUAGUGCUAGGCACACAGCAUCACUUAACAUUCCUUCUGGAACUCUAAGGGAGAAACCUUUUCCCUGGCAUUUCUAGAUUCUAGACUGCCUGUGGUUCUGUGGCUCAUGAAAUCACGAUAUCCUCCUCCAUCUUCAAAGCCAGCAUACCCCUCUCUCUCUCUUUCUCUCCCUCUCUCCCUGAUGCUGCUUCCAUGGUCACAUCCCUUUUUGUGACUUCUACAUUCUUGCCUCUCUCUUAAAAGGACCCUUGUUAUUACAUUGGGUGCAACUGGAUAAUCCAGGAUACUCUCCCCACUUCAUCUCUUAAAUUAUCACACCUGCAAAAUCCCUUUUACCACAUAAGGAAACAUAUUCACGUGUUCUGAAGAAUAGAAAUGGACAUCUUUGGGAAGCCCACUUCAGUACUUCUCCUAACUUCUGUAUUAUUUUGUCAACUUUCUACAGGAAAUUUGCCUUCUUUAAUUUUCCUAUGAAUAUUUUCAUGAACAAGAAGCUGCUCCUUUCUUGGGUUCCCAUAACCCUCAAUUUAUACUUCUCCUUUGCCCUUAUCAUAUUGCAUUUAAAUUUCUCUUUACUUUCUAGCUCCACAAAUCAAAUGAGAGCUUCUAAAGGGCAAGGUUUAUAUUCUCAGCACCCAGCCCAGAACCAUGUAAAUAGUAGGCAUUUGCUGAAGGUUGUGUGGGUGGAGUAAAAGAUCACAUAUUUGAAAACUAUUGCUAUCCCAAUUCAAAGAUGAUAGUGUCCAUAGCCAUUUUAAACAAAUGCAUUAAUGUGACUAAAAGGAUGUUUGCACAGUUUGAAUACACCAAGAGUAAACACUGUUCUGCAAGAGGUAAGAAUGAUUGCAGGUCAUAGAGCCUUUUUCCUACCAGUGCUUGAUUUUCUCAGUCAUGCAACACUCUAAUGUUAUCUACCUACUGUGUGUCAGGUCCAAGGGCCAUAAAGAGAAAUUACAUUUUUGCCACUCAGGAGCUGUCUGUUUUAAGGGCAGACAUAUAUGAACUCAGCAAAUGAUCAAAAGUAAUAGGUGCUGUUCUCAUAAAUGAAAGAACCAUUUUUCAUGCCUUUCUGGAAUCCAUGAAGGCUCUUUGAAAAGCCAUGCUUCUAUAAAGAAGGGAGGAACUAUAGGUUGUUAGUGUCUCUGAGGAGGUAGUGCCAUGUAGUGGUUAAGUACACCUGUUAGAAAGCCAGAGCUUUGGGAUUAAGCCCUAUCUCUGCCACAUAGGAGUCAUGCUGUCUUGUUUAAAUGAUCUAAUUUAAUGUUCUCAAAAUCCUCCUCAUUUAUCCAAAGGAAAUGAAAUUAUUAUCUCAAAAAGAUAUCUGCACAUCCAUGUUCACGUGAGCAUUAUUCACAGUAGCUAAGAUACGGAAACAACUUAAAUGUUCAUCAACAGAUGAAUGUAUUCAAACCUCUCUCUCUCUCUCUCUCUCUCUCUCUCUCUCUCUCUCNNNNNNNNNNNNNNNNNNNNCACACACACACACACACAGAGGAAUAUUAUUCACCCUUUAAAAAUAAGGAUAUCCUGACAUCUGUGCCAUGGGUAGACCUAGAAGACAUUAUGCUAAAUAAAAUACACCAAAAGCAGAUAGUCAAAUAUUGCAUGUGUGGAAUCUAAACUGGUCAAACUCAUAGAAGCAAAGGGUAGAAAGAUGGUUCCAAGGUAUAGCAGGGGGAAUGAAGACAUAUUGGUCAAGGGCACACAAUUUCACUUGCAGAGAAUGAAUAAGUUCGGGAGACCUAACCUAUAGCAGUGUGACUCUAGCUGACAACAAUAUACCCCAUACAUGAAAUUUGCUAACAGUGUCAUAGGUAGAUCUUAAGUGCUGUCACCACAAAAAAAGAAAAAAAAA
rnacentral:lncRNA from 1 species